AUUUAGCUGAUGAGUCCCGAAUAGGACGAAGCUUGUAUCCUGAAU
rnacentral:hammerhead_ribozyme from 1 species